rnacentral:tRNA from 1 species
GGGUCUAUAGCUCAGCUGGGAGAGUACUUGAAUGGCAUUCAAGGGGUCGGGGGUUCGAGCCCCCCUAGAUCCA